rnacentral:rRNA from 1 species
AACGAACGCUGGCGGUAUGCUUUACACAUGCAAGUCGAACGAACUGUUGGUAGCUUGCUAUCAACAGUUAGUGGCAAACGGGUGAGUAACGCGUGGGAAUCUGCCCUAUAGUACGGAAUAGCCGUUGGAAACGACGAUUAAUACCGUAUAUCUUCCCAGGAAGAAAGACUUGUCGCUAUAGGAUGAGCCCACGUUAGAUUAGUUUGUUGGUAGGGUAAUGGCCUACCAAGACUACGAUCUAUAGCUGGUUUGAGAGGAUGAUCAGCCACACUGGAACUGAGAUACGGUCCAGACUUCUACGGAAGGCAGCAGUGAGGAAUAUUGGACAAUGGGCGAAAGCCUGAUCCAGCAAUACCGCGUGAGUGAUGAAGGCUUUAGGGUUGUAAAGCACUUUCAGUCGUGAGGAAGGUGGUAAUGUUAAUAGCAUUAUUAUUUGACGUUAGCGGACAGAAGAAGCACCGGCUAACUCCGUGCCAGCCGCCGCGGUAA